rnacentral:rRNA from 1 species
CCUACGGGAGGCAGCAGUGAGGAAUAUUGGUCAAUGGGGGCGAGUCUGAACCAGCCAAGUAGCGUGAAGGAUGACUGCCCUACGGGUUGUAAACUUCUUUUAUAAAGGAAUAAAGUGAGGCACGUGUGCCUUUUUGUAUGUACUUCAUGAAUAAGGACCGGCUAAUUCCGUGCCAGCAGCCGCGGUAAUACGGAGGAUCCGGGCGUUAUCCGGAUUUAUUGGGUUUAAAGGGAGCGUAGGUGGGUCCUUAAGCCUGUUGGGAAAUUUUGCGGCUCAACCGUGGAACUGCAGUGCGUACUGGGAGCCUUGAGUACAGCUGAGGUAGGCGGAAUUCGUGGUGUAGCGGUGAAAUGCUUAGAUAUCACGAAGAACUCCGAUUGCGAAGGCAGCUUACCAAAGUGGCACUGACAGUGAGGCUCGAAAGUGCGGGUAUCGAACAGGAUUAGAUACCCGGGUAGUC